AUUGAACGCUGGCGGCAUGCCUUACACAUGCAAGUCGAACGGCAGCAUAGGAGCUUGCUCCUGAUGGCGAGUGGCGAACGGGUGAGUAAUAUAUCGGAACGUGCCCUAGAGUGGGGGAUAACUAGUCGAAAGACUAGCUAAUACCGCAUACGAUCUACGGAUGAAAGUGGGGGAUCGCAAGACCUCAUGCUCCUGGAGCGGCCGAUAUCUGAUUAGCUAGUUGGUGGGGUAAAAGCUCACCAAGGCGACGAUCAGUAGCUGGUCUGAGAGGACGACCAGCCACACUGGGACUGAGACACGGCCCAGACUCCUACGGGAGGCAGCAGUGGGGAAUUUUGGACAAUGGGGGCAACCCUGAUCCAGCAAUGCCGCGUGAGUGAAGAAGGCCUUCGGGUUGUAAAGCUCUUUUGUCAGGGAAGAAACGGUUCUGGAUAAUACCUGGGACUAAUGACGGUACCUGAAGAAUAAGCACCGGCUAACUACGUGCCAGCAGCCGCCGCGG
rnacentral:rRNA from 1 species